GAUGAACGCUGGCGGCGUGCCUAAUACAUGCAAGUCGAGCGAACGGACGAGAAGCUUGCUUUUCUGAUGUUAGCGGCGGACGGGUGAGUAACACGUGGAUAACCUACCUAUAAGACUGGGAUAACUUCGGGAAACCGGAGCUAAUACCGGAUAAUAUUUUGAACCGCAUGGUUCAAAAGUGAAAGACGGUCUUGCUGUCACUUAUAGAUGGAUCCGCGCUGCGUUAGCUAGUUGGUAAGGUAACGGCUUACCAAGGCAACGAUGCAUAGCCGACCUGAGAGGGUGAUCAGCCACACUGGAACUGAGACACGGUCCAGACUCCUACGGGAGGCAGCAGUAGGGAAUCUUCCGCAAUGGGCGAAAGCCUGACGGAGCAACGCCGCGUGAGUGAUGAAGGUCUUCGGAUCGUAAAACUCUGUUAUUAGGGAAGAACAUAUGUGUAAGUAACUGUGCACAUCUUGACGGUACCUAAUCAGAAAGCCACGGCUAACUACGUG
rnacentral:rRNA from 1 species